UGGAGUGUGGCUCAGUGGUUGAGCGCUUGCCUAGCAUGCAUGAAGCGCUGGGUUCGAUCCUCAGCACCACAU
rfam:Ictidomys tridecemlineatus contig099213, whole genome shotgun sequence.